UGAUAGCGUUGAAGCGAGAGGUUGCUGCCCUUUCGGCAGGUAACUCCGUGGAGCGAAUGUCAUGUUAUGAAACUGGCGACAA
rnacentral:ncRNA from 1 species